AUCAGGCCUAACACAUGCAAGUCGAACGAACCCUUCGGGGUUAGUGGCGCACGGGUGCGUAACGCGUGGGAACCUGCCUUUAGGUUCGGAAUAACAGUUAGAAAUGACUGCUAAUACCGGAUAAUGUCUUCGGACCAAAGAUUUAUUGCCUUUAGAUGGGCCCGCGUUGGAUUAGAUAGUUGGUGGGGUAAUGGCCUACCAAGUCGACGAUCCAUAGCUGGUCUGAGAGGAUGAUCAGCCACACUGGGACUGAGACACGGCCCAGACUCCUACGGGAGGCAGCAGUGGGGAAUAUUGGACAAUGGGCGAAAGCCUGAUCCAGCAAUGCCGCGUGAGUGAUGAAGGCCUUAGGGUUGUAAAGCUCUUUUACCAGGGAUGAUAAUGACAGUACCUGGAGAAUAAGCUCCGGCUAACUCCGUGCCAGCAGCCGCGGUAAUACGGAGGGAGCUAGCGUUGUUCGGAAUUACUGGGCGUAAAGCGCACGUAGGCGGCUUUUCAAGUCAGGGGUGAAAUCCCGGGGCUCAACCCCGGAACUGCCCUUGAAACUGGAUGGCUAGAAUACUGGAGAGGUGAGUGGAAUUCCGAGUGUAGAGGUGAAAUUCGUAGAUAUUCGGAAGAACACCAGUGGCGAAGGCGACUCACUGGACAGU
rnacentral:rRNA from 1 species